GAUGAACGCUGGCGGCGUGCCUAAUACAUGCAAGUCGAGCGAACAGACGAGGAGCUUGCUCCUCUGACGUUAGCGGCGGACGGGUGAGUCACCCGUGGAUAACCUACCUAUAAGACUGGGAUAACUUCGGGAAACCGGAGCUAAUACCGGAUAAUAUAUUGAACCGCAUGGUUUAAUAGUGAAAGACGGUUCUGCUGUCACUUAUAGAUGGAUCCGCGCCGCAUUAGCUAGUUGGUAAGGUAACGGCUUAUCCAGGCAACGAUGCGUAUCCGACCUGAGUAUGUGAUCCGCCACACUGGGACUGAGACGCGGUCCUGACUCCUACGGGAGUCAGCGAUAGGGAAUCUGCCUCAAUGGGCAAAAGCCUGACGGAGCAACGCCGCGUUAAUGAUGAAGGUCUUCAGAUCGUAAGACUCUGUUAUUAGGGAAAAACAAAUGUGUAAAUAACUAUACACGUCUUGACGGUACCUAAUCAGAAAACGACGGCUAACUACGUC
rnacentral:rRNA from 1 species